GUGCUCGCUUCGGCAGCACAUAUACUAAAAUUGGAACGAUACAGAGAUUAGCAUGGCCCCUGCACAAGGAUGACAUGCAAAUUCAUGAAGCGUUCCAUAUUUUU
rnacentral:snRNA from 1 species